rnacentral:rRNA from 1 species
UACGUAGGGUGCAAGCGUUAAUCGGAAUUACUGGGCGUAAAGCGUGCGCAGGCGGUUUUGUAAGUCUGUCGUGAAAUCCCCGGGCUCAACCUGGGAAUUGCGAUGGAGACUGCAAGGCUAGAAUCUGGCAGAGGGGGGUAGAAUUCCACGUGUAGCAGUGAAAUGCGUAGAGAUGUGGAGGAACACCGAUGGCGAAGGCAGCGCCCUGGGUCAAGAUUGACGCUCAUGCACGAAAGCGUGGGGAGCAAACAGG